AUUUCGAUAUAGGGGUAUCAAUAGGGUAACAAUUUCAUAUGAGCAUUUAUAGUAUAAAACUCUUGUGAUAGAACAAAAAGAUACGAAUAGUCUUCUUAGCACAAAUCAUACAAAUUGCUAAACCCAUGUCUCUUCUCUCAAAAAUUGAGGACAACAAUUUCAAAAUGGUCUCUAUACACUCCUUAUCAUGUUUAGCCAAUCUAAUGUCAUCAAUAUCAAAAUUAGAAUUACAACCUACUAUCAAACCUUUACAC
rnacentral:lncRNA from 1 species